GGCAGUAUACAAAGGACAGAGGUGAACAAGGGAUUACUCCUAGAAAUGGCUUAGUGUUUAGGUUGUGCACGUAAAGAAAUGCCAAACACCCUUGAGUUGCACUUUUCGUCCCUUUUCUUUUGGCCUAUAUCAAGUUUACACCAUGGAAGAGGACUGAGUUAGUAGUAAUCAAAUAGCCCUUGUUCCGUUUAAGGCUCCAUAAUACUAUACUUUAUAUGUGGAAUAUAUCUGGAUCGAGACAUCAAAAAAGAAUAAGGGUUCCGGCGCAACUACUUAAGCUUGGAAAAACACCCUACAAAGACACACCUUCCUAUAGCUUAGCCGAUGAGAAUCCAGCAAGUAUGAAUAGGAGUAACAGCAUUGAAGGCAGGCGCUCUAACAUUCACAACACCUGAAAGAAGGAAAGGAAACGACAACCCCCCACCCAAGUAGGUCAAACAAAAGAAUCACUCCCUCGCUUCUUUAAGAAUAAGAAAUCAUUCUUUUAGCUUACUAUCAUAUAAGAGGUGGGCAGUACCCGCAAUGGGAAGAAGAAAGAAUGGCAGGAUAUUUCAGAUAGAAAAGCAGACAAGGCUAGAGAAGCUAGUAAUUUGACUCGUCGAGUUGUCCAGACAAUAGAACUUCCUUUUCUCCAUAAAUGCGGUUUGAUGCUUUUUAGCUUAGGUGUUUCUUUGAUCCCGUCCCUCGUAACUGUCUUUGAUUUCUCUAGGAAAUAGAGCCUUUCGCUCGUAAUUGAGCACGUGAAUAAGAUGCUCGACCAACGGGAUAUGGAGUUUUCAGUCUAUAUUAGGAUUUAACAAUUAGCAAACCCUUUCUUCUUUACAGUACAGGCCUGUGAACUCGGGGCUGUUAAACAUAAAAGAAUCCUACACUAGCCUAUUUGAGAAGUGUUCGUUCUACUUGAUCAUAUUUGACAACAAGAUAACAAGGAUAAAAGGUCACAAAGAGCGCGCUUACGAAAGCCUUCAAGAAAUCCAUUCUUGCAGCUACCAUACAAUACUUGCGAGAUUAAUUCCUGCUGCCCCUAGGAGCAAACACUCACUAUUGGAAAUUAGAAGCUCAUCUCUAUCUCUGGAUUCGGCAUAAUCAAUGGCACUAACCACACAAACAUAUGUUUAGGAAGGCUCAAUGGGUCCUAUCCCCUAUAGUAGUACGUUGGAGUGUGCGCUUUUGUUCAGGAUAGUAUAGUGGUAGGGCUGGACUCGUGCUUACCCCGCCUAUCCACCAUGCACCACAAUAAAAUAGCUAUCGGUGAAUUGAACUAACAAGAAAAGUCAGUUAUUAGGCUGAGGCAUAACAUGUAGAGGAAUAGGAAUAAGGCUUCUUGCCGGACUCUGUCUCCUUCUCUGGUCAACAUAGAGUAAGUACCUCUGAUUUCUCUGAUGAUUCGGCUUAAUGAAAAUAGAACUAGUAGCUCCGGUAUAGGGAAGGUACCGAAGCAUAUAUACACUGAUUGCUAGGAAGAUGGAUCCUGCCAUCAGGCAACGGAUGUCGGUCGGUACUCGUACUCGCUCUGAUUUCUAAUAAAUAAUAAAUAAAGAACAGGGCACUGAGAAUCGUGCUUACUUUCUUUGAUUGACCCUCCGCGCCAAGACUUGAAUAGAUUGAGUUCGCAGAUUUCUAUCCCCACGUUGGUAAGAAUCCCUGUCAUAGCAACAGCAGCCCUGACAUAAAAGGUAGGUAGAUAUCUAUUUGCAUUUCCUUGCCUUUUCUUAGUCUGCUACCACUGAGGAAAUUGCCCAAGGUUUUGAUCCUUAUCCUGGAGGUACCCCAUCUUUUCCUUUGCCACUGAGAGCGAGUUCAUUAUUCCGCAGCGCACCCUUUGUUUUGAUUGAUCAGACCGGUCAUAGCCCAUUCGCCCUUUACCUCCAAUUCCAAGUCAGAGGGGAACAUUUGGAUUCUUGAGAAUUCAUUUCUAUAACGUGGGGAGAACUGUAUAGGGAUGCGAGGAACCUUGCUUUCAGAUCGCAAGUCCAAUAGGCGGUCGAGGUCUUCUAUCUAAUCCAUUACCAUUGCUUCUGGGGAAAAGGGAUAACAAACAAGGGAACGAUAGGACAAUCUAUGAUGCUAGUUUUGUCGUUGCCCGGUACAAGUCAAGUUUUGAAAGUAUAAGAGAGAAUCACAUUGCUAACUUACUGCUAUUAUCGAUAUUCGAACAUGAACUCACAUGCUUUAACUCAUUCAGGAAGCUCUACCUCAUAAUAGGCUAGCGGUCCCACGGAUGCCAAAAACAUCUUACUGACUGCUUAAACUCUGGUAAGCUAUCUAGUUCAUAUGAGAGAGAUAGUCGUCUCAUCAUUGGUGAUGGAUCAGCACUUCCGAUGACUCAUGACUGACACACUCUCGAUUCAGGUUCCGUUUUAUUGCAGGGGAUAAGUUGGAUUCCAAAUGUGUUAGUCGUACUAUCCUCACCAAAUAAGUAGUAGAUUCCGAGUGCGACCAGCUCCUUGAGUGAAGGGCGACUUAAGUGCAUUAGGCCGAUGUCAAUAAAGAUGUAGAAGAAGAAGAGAUGUUAAAGUAGUGGGCCAGGCCAAGCUACUCGGAUUUCUCAAAGUAGCAAUAAUCCCAUCCAUUACUCCUUGAUAGGCUUUUAGAUGCUUGUAGGCCUCGCGUACCCAUUGGCUUUGUAGAUUGCGGAGUCAUCAUGGCUAGGUUUAUGAAAUCCUUACUUCAGGAUCGUAUCAGAGAGAGAAGAGACCCGAGUCGAGAGCCGAAACGAGUGCGAGCAGCAGAGAGAUCCAUACUCCUUAUACUAAAGAGAUCCAUACUCCUUAUAUCUUUGAAAAGCGUUUCCUUUGUUAGCUACCUAUUACUUCACAAAAUGGGUGGAAGCAGCGCCAAUGACAUGACAGAAGUAACCACAACAGAAAGGUCAACAACACUAAGUACCUUCAUAAGCGUUACAAUAUAAAGAAGGAUAUGUUCAUAUAUAUAAAGAAAGAAUGAAAUACCAAGAAUGAAACGAACAGACAAGCAACGGUCCCAGAGCAAGACGUUCUAAAAGUGUUGUAUACGAAGCGAGAAGGGAGCACUUUUCUAAUGUCCACGGAGCGAGUCAAGAAAACAUUAGAUUACAGGUCGGGUUAUAGUCUUAUGGUUGAAGUUUAUGGAAGUGAUUGUGUUGUCCGGGGCAGAAUAUCUUAUUUCUUAAGCUAGUGCGGUGCUUGUUGGUGCUUGUUAAAGUCCUAAUGCGGGGCGCGACAAGAGAUCAAAUCUGAGAUGCGCUACAAGAGAGAUAGAAUGAUUUGUUUCAACUUACCAUAUAUUCUAGUUGAAAGGAUGGGUUAAGGUCCAGGCCCACUAAUAAGACGUCGUGUGUAAGCAUCAGCUUCAACAAACCGUGUUGCGCUUAAGGAGUUAUGUGAGUUUGGCGAUGUUCUUAAAAGAUGCCCUUGUGCCUUACGGAGAGGAUGAAUCUUACCUACUUCCCCAUAUCGCCUCUGCUACAGUAUGAUGCUUCUCUAGAGGUUUCGCUUUCCAUUCCAUUCUUUAGGUCUGGGAAGAAUCUAUAGGUGCAUAACUUCUAACAAAGGGAAAGCCUAUUACUUUGCAUAUCCAGCUCCAAUUUAUGAUCAGUAUCAAGCGAGCUCUUAUUACAAAUGUCGAUGCUCAACACGAAAUCCCUUUCUUGGAAAUCCUUUUGCUUAAAUGAGACUCUCCACUAAUAUAGCAAAACGGUAAUAUAGUUCUAAAAACGGGAAUUGCACUUACAAAAACAAACAAGUGCUUCCACUUUAUUAGCUUAUGAAUUGAACGACUUUAUUUCUACCCUAUUCUUUCUUAUCUUUUAAUUGAAUGAUCAACUGCCUAUUUGGAUGUUUGAGUAGCGCUAACUGAGUUUGACAUAAGGUACGGUACGAAAUGUUUGAUUUGACUUCUUUCUGCUUAGGAGUUAGAAGCGCUAACAGAGUUUAUAGGUGCAUUACUUAAUUCGAGAGACAAAUGAAGUUCAGAAUUCGCUAUUAAACAAGCAGACUCCGUAGUCACUUAUACUUACUUGUGAAAUUCUUUGUAGUAACCUAUUCCCGGCCUUAUGAAGAUUGAUUCCAUUCCUGCUUCAUUGUGGCGGAUAAAAGAUUGAUGAUUGUGUUGCUGGGUGCGAGUGCAGUGCAUGUUCUCCUAUGAGUAAGUGAAAGUCAAGUCCAAGUUGCUUCCACUCAAAGUUAACGGCUCUAAAAGUGCUCCUUCAUAGAUUCCCCAUGUUAUUAUAGAAGAUAGACUAAGCAAUCUGAUAGGAAGAUAGACUAAGCAAUCAAUCUGUGAUAGACAAAAAUCUGAAGCGUGAGAGAGUUUGCUUAUUGGGGCUAGAAAGAGUUAAGGUCAUUGUGCGCGUAAGAAAGGUAGGAAACAAUAGAGCUGGAGAAGGAAAGUCCACAACAUCAUAUGAAUACGCAGUCCGAGCUGUCUUUGUUGGCUUAGGGCAAGAAUAAGACAAGUUGUUGACAUGUUGGUUACUAAGAUGGAGAAGUAGUGCAAUGAAAGCUGUCAGCAAGCAUAACAAAUAACAGGGCAUGUUACCUCACUGCCUAAAGCUUGUUCCGGGCUUAUUCCUGAAAGAGAUAUUUGGCCUUGUUCCUUCCAAAGCUAAUUAAAGCACAAGCACUCUAGAGAUAAUAUCAUAUUAAAAACCCAACCCACAAAACCAAUUGCUUUUAGAAUGGAAUUGCCCCGUUCAGUUCACACCACACGCUCUCACUGAGAUUACUCUUGGCAUGGCACCUCUUUUCCAAUAAUCUUAUUCUUGAAAACUUCCUAACAGGGCAGAGGGCGUAGUAGAAUAAUUCUGCUAUGAAGCUAAGGUGAAGUAUCAAGUGCUGUAUUUCUUUCUUUUCUUUAUGUUUGGAAGAAGCGUACACGGAACAAACUAGUAAGUCAAUCUGGCAUGGCAGAGGAAAGAGUGUAUUAGCGUUGCAGUGAGGGCGGGGUUCGAAAGAAGGGUGUGUGCUUAGCCUUCACCGAGUAGUGGUCCAAGCUACAGAACAAUAAAAGCUAUGGAAAGUCAAGUAUAAGCUAUCUAUAACAAAGCAAGACAUUGUGCUUAUGUGAGUUGCAAAUAAGAUACAACUCUAAGGUAUAUUUCUUUCUCAAAAUGAACUAGAACUAACGGUACCUAAAUAACCAAUCUUCUCUUAUAAAUUGAGUUUACCAUAACUUCAACUUAGAGAAAGAGGAAAGUGCAAGUGGGUUUAAGGUCAGAAAGAGAGAGUACUUUACUUAGACUUGAAGUUCAUCAUUUCUUUCAUCCAUCUCACGCAGAAGAUCCAUCAGAUUGGCCCAAGCAAGAAGUAAGCUUACGUAAAGGGAUAGAGUUAAGCUAUAGGGUACGCUAGAAACAAGUUCGAAUGCAAGUGAGCCUACCCUAUGUCAACUUCGGAUGGCGCCUAGACUAGAUGGAAGCUGUCCGGGGGAUUGCAAAUAUAGAACCUGUAUGGUAAGAACGAGUGCUGUCCCGUAUCACACUAGGAUGAAACAAGAACAGGCAAUUGAGUGUCCAACAAACCCCUAAAUAAUAAGUUCGAAAGUCAAACACCCGAUACUUAAAAUGCAACUGGAUAGACUCGGAAUUCCACUCGAAAGUCAUAACGAAACUGCAAGGGAACCCUCAAGGGAAGCACUUCAGAAGGUAGGCGAGAAGGAAGUAUUUGUUUCCUAGGCGCAUUAGGAAGUUAUGAAAGUACACUACGGUACGGGGUCUGUUUUCUAGCUUCAUUAACUAGCUUAAUUAUAGAGAGUCUGGUCUGUCUCUUGGGGUACGAGAGUAUUGUCUAGGUUUGGUGAUUGUGUUGCACGUCUGAAAGGAGAGUUCCCGGUCUGAAAGGAUAGGUCUAGAGAUAGAGCUCGGUAAGUAAGGUGUGUUGUCGUGAGAGGGCUUGGCUGCUCUUAUGAAAUUCCAUGAAAUUCUUCUGUAGUUGAGAAUUCUGUGUUAAAUGAUUUAUUUAUUAACUAACGUAUAUGAGCAAGAGAGGGCAGGGAAAUGGUCAAUUCCUUUCUUUUAUAGAAGUAGAGAGGUCCGCGGGAAGUAUCGAAUUGUUGUCAGUAGAAGAGCCGAGUUCAGCAAGUAAUAAUCGCUGGAAUGCUGUUUCAGGGUUGAUGUUUUCAAGUAAGAGUCGCGUGCCACUGUUGCGGUUUCUUUCUUGAUUAUAGAACCUUAUAUAAGGUGGAAUGAAAGUGGGGCCAAGUCCUAUAACUUUACAUAAAGCACUAUCAAUCAGGGUUCUGUUCUUCAACGCCCAGCCAGAGCUGCCCUACCGCCAUGAAUACCCAAAAAAGGAGCAAAUUGGUGCCUUAAACAACGAGAAAUAAGCCAUCUUUUCCUGCCUGUCACCUUGAUUAUGACCUUCUUAAAAGUACUGAGUACGGGGAGUAUCUUAAAGCAACGGAACUCGCAAGGGAAAAACCAUUCGAUAACUUGAAAAGACGGUGCAAAUAUAGAGUACUUCAGAGCAACGGGCGCUAAGAGCAACAAUACAACAUGAAAAACUACAUAAAUACGUUCUAAAAGCAGUUAUAAAUCAUACCUUAGUUCGACUGCUAACGACUCCUCGGGUGCUAAGAAAAAGAAGAUAGGUUAUUUACCUUAGUUGAAGAGCUGGACUUGUAGAAUCAAUUCCUGCCGCCACGAAAACAACACUAGUUUACCCAUACGUUUCUUCUACUACUCUGGUAUAUGGUUGAUUCUCCUACUACAGACAGUAUCCAUCCUCUUGGGGUGGGGCGCCAGUUCAAGUUCCUUUACUAAUACUUAUAAGAAAGCGGUCUUCUACUUUUGUUUCAAGUGUUUGUAUAGCGGCCCUUUAGCGCCAUGGCUUGGUGGGCCCUUAUAGUACUUUCUUUCCCCUUGUAAUAGAGUUCGGGUCGGGUUUAAGUGUUUCUGUGCAAAGAAAGGAUACUUCACUAUCACUUCUGGGGUCGUCAAAUCAUUCUUAUAGUAAGUAUCUGCUUGUCUUCUCUCUUUCGAUAAUCAAUUACAGGUGUUCGAUAGACUCAAUGAAAAGAAUUGUCUGUAUCAGGAUCAUCGGCAGUCUCAAGUCAGUCUGAUUCAAAAGAAAGGGACGCAGCGGUAAGUCAACUAUAAGAAACUACCUUACCGAAGCAAUAGUACGAGUAACACAAGAGCAGGGCCAUUAAGUGACAUGUGCAUUCCUACUUUCCUUUGCCUAACUAUAAUUGAAGCUUCUUCUCUUGAGUUGGAUACAUUCCUCGAACUUAUGAUCCUAGAGUUUACCUUUCCUCGCACAGCUCAUUCUUCCCUUGCAUUAUGACCCCGCUCAUUCUUCCCGGCCAGUACUAUGAAUAAAAUAACCAGGCAAGCAGAGAAGUUGACUUAUCCCUGUAUUAUAGGCUUGAAAUUCAAUUGAAAGCGGGUUGGAUCUCUGGAUAACUGAUUCUUAAGCCCCUCCUGGCAACUGGAACUAUCCUCUUAUCUAGCUCCUGAGUUUGACUACGACGUUCAAUUAUAGUUUGACUACGACGUUCCAUUCUUACAUAAAAUACCAGAGGAGAGUUAACGAGCGGGUUCAAUUCAAUUACUUACUUUUUGGAUUCUUAACAGGUUUGGCGGACUACUCUACUGGUUGGGCAAGGUCAGAAACAUCUUACUUAGAAUUGACUUAUACUUACUAAUGCUAUUGCUACUGUUGCUAAGAAGUCAAAUACGCACUUUCUUGCCUAGUAGCUUAGGAGUCAAAGCAGGAAGAUGAAACAUCCGAAUCUCCCCAUCUUUGAAAUCCAAAUAAGGAAUAGAGGAGCUCGGCCCUUAAGUAAAUUGCAGUAGAAUCAUCAGCUAAGAAACUCUCACUGGCUAUUCAGCUGCCCGGGGUUAAUAAAGAAGUGUUGUGGUAUACUUCCGCAUCUGGUAUAAGGCAAGUCAUAAUGGAAAUAGAGUCCGAGUGGAGGAGGUGGCACCAAUGCUAAAGGAGCAAUAACAGUAUUUGUUGACUUAGGUAGAGGAACAAUAGUACAAAAGAUGAAAUCGGUAUUGUUGCCCGAGAAGAAUGGGGAUUUGGAAGCAGGAAGCUAUUCUGAACAGGAGAUGAAGGUCACUUCCCUAGUGUUGCUGGAACAAUAGCAUUAGGGAGUGAACCCCGUUAGCUGAGGAAUUCUAGUGCCCGUGCCCCGCCUAGGUAUUCUAGAAGGCUAUAAGAUUCUAUUCUAGAAGGCUAUCAGAUUAAUAAGAUCAUAUAUCAUUUAGUAUGUUUUCCUCAAUUACUGGUUGCGAGCGGGAAGGCCGUAUCAGUAAUUGGUUGCUUGGUCACUUAGAUGAAAAACAAGAGCCGUUGAAAACAUUCCAUUCCCUUACUAAAUGCAGGGUUUUCUCCACGAAAUAUAUUCUAUCUUUAUAAUGCAUUAUUCCGAUUCUUGUAUUCUCGUGUCGCUAAAGGGCCGCUCUUUCGCUCCUCCGUUUUAUAGGCAUAAAUUCUUUAAACAACUAUUGACGCAUCCCUUUCCACUCUUCUCUUUACCCUAAGAGCACUUUGCUUCGGAUUGCCCUCCUUCCCCCGCGCACCAGUACUUUAUUAAUAAAAGGAUCCAUCUUUACAGCACUACCACUUUAAGAAGGUAAGGGUAUUUCAACCAACUCUUCAUUACUACAGGCUAAACUCAGUACUUAAGGAUAAGAAUUCCAUUAGUGUCGAUGAAACUCUCUCUCCUUCCUACCUCAACUGUGGACUCUUCUCUAUAUUUAUGAAUACUCUUUCUUUUGAUCUUGCUUCGGCUUCUAGAUACGAUUAGAUUACACCAUUGACUUAAGGGCUAGGCGAACAUCACUCGUAUGAAACACAGAUGCACUUAAUGGUCACUGUAAACUGGAGCUGGCACUGCGGAUUCUUGAGAUUGAGUUGCUGCUGUUGAUGAUCCUUAUGCGGUAAGUCUUAGUAUAUGCUUGGUCCCUACUAUAUUAUAUAUUAUCUUAUAUUAGGAUUACAUUUCGGAUGAAACUCUGGAAACCCUUUCACUCUAUAUAUAAAGAUAUAUUAUUGACAUUCCAAUUCUUUAACAAGCCCCAAGCAAGGACUGUGUGAGAAGCUAGGGGGAUAGUGGAAGCUCCGUAUUAGCAACAGGGGUGAGGUUCAGAAACGUGUAUACAAAGAAAAUAAGUAAACUCACUCCUAAUGAUAAAGUGAACUAUUGGAUUGUCCCGCCUCCUCGUCGCCAGUACCUGAUCCUAAUUCUUAUCAAACAUCCUAUCGAGUCGAAAAGACAGAUUACUUGAUCACUGCCUCAGAUCCAUCUUACUAACCUUUCUACUUCCUCCUCUCUUACUCGCUUACUCCUCUUGUAGAAAAAACUGUCCACUCGAGACCCUUGACUUGCUCAUAACGAACGGGCCAAGCAGACAAGCAACAACCAGUGAAGUUGACCCCGGAGUGGACUAGUAUAGUCUCCUUUUUCACUCACUCCUAAAGUUGCUCACCUAGUAUAGUCUCCUUUUUCACUCACUCCUAAAGUUGCGACUCUCUUCUUGCCCAAACAGCCCUUUCAGACCACAAAUUGUAAUAACUUCUUUUUUUGUUCGAGAGCAGAGCCAGAGCCAGGCCAGAGAGAUAAUGUCAAAUACAGCCCUUCCCUUAAGCGCUCCAUGUAGUGGGCAUUCGAUUCGAGAUGAUCUUCGUGGACAUUUGCUAUGGAACCGUAGUGUUCAGAGGAGCUAGGUGGGAAAGGAAAGAACUGGGAUUUGAACAUGCAGUAAAUGCUAGCCAUUAUGACCCAUCCUAUAUUGGGCCAGGCCAGGAAGCUGAUCCUGAAACUGCCAACAUUCCAUCCGAUAUAGUAGAUGAGAUCCAUACAUCCUGAUUUCCCUAAUUGAAACAUUAUGAAACUGCCAACAUUCUAUCCGAUAUAGUAGAGCCAUAACCCUUCUUUCCCUUAUUGAAACAUUCUAUCCGAUAUAGCAGAUAAGAGCCAUCUACCUAUCUUGUAUUUCCCUUACUUAUUGGUGGGGUUGGUCGGACUUCCUUCAUGGUAAUCAUUAAAGUAGAACAUUCCAGUAAAAGACUUCAUGGUGCGUGCCAAUCAUUCAAAGUGGUGAUCUGGGCAGAAGUAGCUAGAGGCAAACCACUCAGAUGCCCAGUCAGCUAAGCUUCUAUGGCUGUGGGGGGCCGAAUUAUUUAAGUAGUCAGUUUCGGAGCUUAGUCUUAAUUAAUUAUAUAAGAAGUCUUUUGCAUAAGUUAACAUAUUCCAUAAGAUAGAACUUCCUAUAAAACCAACGGAAACUACAUCUCUAUUCUCUCUAUUAUGCCUCUGCCCUUUAAUAAGCAGGGUUUGAUUAUGCCGAGAUAUAUUCGAUUCUUGACUUAUGCCGAGAUAUAUUCGAUUCUUGACUUAAGUAAUAGCUGUGAGAUUACUAAGUAAUAGCUGUGAGAUUACUAAAAGAUAUCCCAUGUGCUCGAGACUCGAGAGAUUCCAUUCUGCACUUCUUGUAGAGUGAAAAACCAUAUUGGUAAGAUAUACUAUUGGAUUCUAUUAGAAGUAGUGUCAAUCAUUGAAAAUCAAAUAUGCAAAUCAAAAUGGUGGAAGGGUUUGGACUAUGCUUAUAGAAGAAGUGACUAAUAUUCCAUUUGGAAGCUUCAUUCCUAUAUUUCCAGAUCAGCCAUAAAGAGUGGGCACUGCUAGCUCGAAGGGAUUAGAUUUAUGUUUAGUCAAGUCACGCGUACCCAUUUAGUAUGAAUAAUAGAAACACAUAUUGAGGAUGAAUAAUGGAAACACAUAUGAAAUGAGUAAAAACACUCCGGACUCCUAUGACUAUAAAGAAUAGAAAGAAGAUAGCGUCACACAUAUAGAAAGAAGUAAACAAUCUCCUUACUAUCCUUAAGGAACCUUUCAUACAAUGAACAGAUGGGUACUGCCGAAGAUUGACUUUUCCAAAUCCAGAAGAUUGUAUAGACCCAAUGGGACCGAAUCUGACCUAAACCCCAGCGCCCUAAGAGAAGGAACUCACGUAAGCACCCGCUUAUAUACAAUACUAGCAUAUUACCCCUGACCCCGGAGAUACAAGACGGAACUCUAUUCCCUUGAAUCACCCCUAUCUUAAAUCACCCCUAUAAUAAUUGAUUGAUGUCGGCACCCCCAACUUGUAAAGAAGGGAAUGAGUGACUAUGACUUUUCAUGUACGAUACUCAACUCCCUUCCUUCUUUAAUAACAUGACUUUUCAUAUACUAAACUCAACUCCCUUCCUUCUUUAAUAACAUGACUUUCGAAUAUAUAUAUCUAUAUGAUACGCGACUAACGGAUAUCUCCUUUCAGAUUCUCACUUUCAGAGUCAAUAGAUUCUCCCACAUGCGUCUAAUCGGUUUCAGUUCCGCUAUUGCUUUCUUUUCGGUUUCAGUUCUGUUAUUGCUUUCCUUGUGGCUUCCUCUCUCUCUCUUUCCUGAUGGUGAAUAACCGCUCUUUGAUUUUAUGUCGGAAGUUACAUCUAAGGGUAAAUAAGAGAUGGCAUCGAAAAGGAGGGCCUAAGAAAGAGUGUCUCGAUAAGGUGCGGAUGCCUGAUUGACCAUACUCUCCUUCGACACAGGAAGGGAAGCAUCGAAUUGCCUUAGUGGGAUAGCUUAGUUCAAUAGUGAGUUCUUAGUGGGAUGGGAUAAGCUUAGUUCAUUAGUUCUUUUCUAGUAGGAAGGAAUAAGGCGAAAACUUAGAGUUUGUUACAGCCCAGCCCUAAACUGAGUUUCAGAACGAAAGAAUCGCACAAUGGUGGAGAUGACCAGAAGCUUCUUAAAGAGAAGGGGCAAAGAAGGUUGCCUUGGAAGUGAUUCAGUUAGAGAGCCGGUUACCGAAAAGCACCUUUAGCUGGGGUCUAUCGAAGACGAAGAGGGGAUUCUUUCUCUCUUCCCCACAUCCACAAGACGAUGAAAAACAAAUAUAUGCCAUUCGAUUCUUUCCUAUUUAAUAAGAGAUGGGAAAGGCAAGGAGCGUCCAUAAGAUAAAGUAUAGAGCUGGAGUGGUUGGGAAGUAGUCUAUAAGAUUGAUUAUAGAUCUCAGGGGUCGGGAAUGAAUUACAGAGGACUGGGUUCAGGUCAAGAAUCCGGUAUACUUUUCUAUGUUGGUGCCGAUAUAAGUUCUUCAAGCUUCAAGUCGGAUGUUAGGUUACAUAAUGUUCUCAGAUGUAUAUUAGAUUCUUUAGAGUGGAGAGUUCUUUUACUUCAUUAUAGAAUCCGUGUGAAACAAAGCAACUCGAGGUGCACUUCCUUUUUCUAUUAACUUAUCCCUCCCAGGCUUUCUGAGACCUGUGCGAGAAAUGCCUUUAGCACGAAUUCGUCAGAUACGAAGCUCAGGGGUGGGAAUCAAUUUCUUAUAAUGACUUUUUGGUUGCUUUUCUAUUCUCUUCUCAUUCUCUAUCUAAUGAUAAAGAGAAAUAUCAAGUGCUCUUUUGUGUCUCAGUGAAGGCCAGGCCCCCAAUCCCUUCUUUAAAUGGAUCUUAUCCUGUGCUUAGGAUCACUCUGCGCCUAUGAACCCGAAAAAGGAGGUCGUUUUGAACUUCUUCUUUCUUCUAAUGAGGGAGAGGUCUCACUUCUUCUUUCUUCUAAUUAGGUCAUUCAUGUCAUGGCUCGCUCAGUUUGCUCGCGGGCGCCCAUUCCAGCCCGAGUUUGUGAAAGGAAGGCUAGAGAGGUGGGUCUCUCCUGAUUGAGUUCGCCAUCGUCCACAUCACUAGAUUCUAUCCCUUGCCCUAACUCUCCAUUUGGUGAGAAGGAAGUCAGCUUCAUCUUUCCACCCCUGCUGUCCAUCUCCGUUUCAAUUCUGCCCUCAUACACCUACUCCUUUCGGACUCGGUAAAGAAGCUAUCAGGUAAUAAAUCAAUCCCGGCAAACCACUGGAAUAUGAUCUUAUCUUGGGCAAACAAACAAUAAAUCCAUUAAUGAAUUUCAGAAAGAAGAGCUUAUUGUUCCAAUUAGAUACUAGAAAGAAUGGCAGAAGGAAUUAGCUAACUAUUACAAUAAACGAUUGAAAGAUUAACCGAUAUAGGAGUAGCCUUCCUUCUCUCUAUCACUCCUUAGAUGGGGAAUUCAUUCCUGAGAGGAAAGCAAAGGAGCUAAGAGCCUCUAUAUAAUUAAGCGGAAGAUUAAGUGAGGGAAAGGAAAGGCGUCGAACAUCUAAUCUAGGACCGGUCGCCUUUCUCAAAGAGUCUUUAUAUGCUAAAGCAUACAUAUACAUUAUUGGGGAAGUAAGGAAGGAACGCAGAAGAUAAGCCCUAUAGCAUUAUUUGGGAAGUAAGGAAGGGACGCAUAAGCCCAACACAAUAGCAUUAUUUGGGAAGUAAGGAAGGGACGCGGAAACCCACCCUAUAGCAUUAUGGAGUUCUGCGGUGAACUAAUCGCAUCAGGUAUUCUUUGAGUGUCGGAAAAACACGAAAAUGGUAAGCUCAGCUCCAGAGUCUUUUCACUGAAGACAGCUAUCAAGUUCGGCUCUUUGCAGUGCACAAGGCGGAGUUGGGACUGUGGUGAAGUCAAACAGUUCGGACGUGAGCUUGGGGACCUCGGCUUAAACCCACUAUCAGGUAUAAUAAAGGGCAGAAGGAAUGGGAAUAUUUUCCACCCACCAGCACCGACUCAGAUAGAGAUAGGAUCAAAUAGUACCAUAUAAGGGUCAGAUUCUCUCUUUCUAGAUCAAAUAGUACUAUAUGUUGGUCAGAUUCUCUCUUUCUUAGAUCACAGAGUACUAUACAGUUGGUCAGAUUCUCUCUUCUAUAAGAAGUGGUGUCAAUCAUUUUCAAUCCAAUAUGGAAUAGUGUAAAAACACAGCUUUGCUUCCCAAAGAGUCGCGGGGGGUCUGGUUCCACACAAGUAUUGGUAUUGCCAUGAAGCGUGGGCACUUAUUAAUAUUUGACUACUAUUCUCUUCUUCAAGCGUAGUGAAAGUCAAUUCCUAAUCCAGAGCACGCGCCUAUAGGCCACUAGUUACUCAGUUCAAGGUUAGCGCUGGGAAUGAAUGUUAACCAAUUGUAGACAGACAUUCUUUUCUUUCGGCUUUUGGAAGAUAGUCAAUAUGGUUAGUUAUGGUGUCCGUGGUCUUGUUCAAAUGCUUGAUUUCUUUCCUUCCGGGGCAGGAGCAAGAGGUCUGGCUGGCUCUUUUCCUGUUCCACUCAAGUCAUACAAUUAUUGUUAUCGGGGGUGCAUCUGUUGGGGGCGUAAGCGCUGUAGUGAGCUCCACUCGAAAGGCUUGCUGCACCAUCUCCUCGGAUUAGAAUUGGGAGCAAUAGUCGUAGCGGUGUAACUGUGACUUUCCUCUUUCAACAAAGCGAUAAGACUACUUUACUUUACUUCCUUUCCUUGGCUAGAAGAUAGUGAGUGCAUUGAUAUAGAUAAGUUGGAAUCUGAUAGUAAGUGCAUUGAUAUAGAUAAGUUGGAAUCUAGUCAGUGUGCCAAAUACUCUGAGCCAUAGCUUACCUCUUUCUUCUUAGACCGGUUCGCACCCAAAAGGAAUUCAUAAUUUGUGUAAGACAAGAGAGGUUCGCAGACGAGUGAUAGCAGUACAUAGGAAUAAAGAGGAUGAGUAGGAGUCUGUCUUCAAGGGAAGGAAAAGACCUAUAGCCCCAAGCCCCUUAUUGACCAAAGGAGAGUCAAAAAAGCAAAAAAGAAGGUGUUUAAGGCGGGUGCUCACGAGCCUAAUAAGCUGCUAUAGUCAUAAGCUGCUAUAGAUAUAUAGUGAAGUAGCUAAAUCCAGUUCAACUAGAGUCGGUGGGAAAAGAAACCCUGUCAUUCAGUUCCAAUCGAAAGGAAACCAUACUACUCAAAGAAAGUGAAGCACGCAAGUAAGCAAGCAAAAUCUUCUUCUUAUUAUGCCGGGACCCCAAUGCGCAACAUGAUACUAAGCUUAUUCCCUUAACAACUACUGGAGUUGGAGCUGGAUCUGUUGCAUAAGAAUCAUAAGCCUACAAUUAGAUAGCAAUAAAUGAGAUAAAUAAGGGAGUUUAGUAUCUUAUAGAAUAGGGUCAAGAAUCAGGAUCCUCAUAACCCGACCUAUAAUAGUCCUUUAACACCUGUAUACCAAUAUAAUGGCUAAUCCUACACAAACAAACUCUAAGGCGCUUAGGAACAAGCAAAACAAAGGCUUUCAACAAGUGAGGGAAAAAGUAAGAUGUUAGGUUACAAAUUCAUUCUAAGGAUUGUUUCCGAGUUUAGAUAGUGAAUUAGCUAUCAGAGUCAUUUCCCCGAGGCAAGCAAAAGAAUAGAGAGUUUUUGACCCGGUCAUUCGAGUCGAUAUUAUGAAAGUGGAACAGGAACAGGCCAACUUGUAG
rnacentral:lncRNA from 1 species